rnacentral:rRNA from 1 species
AUUGAACGCUGGCGGCAGGCCUAACACAUGCAAGUCGAGCGGAUGAAGUGAGCUUGCUCCUGGAUUCAGCGGCGGACGGGUGAGUAAUGCCUAGGAAUCUGCCUGGUAGUGGGGGAUAACGUCCGGAAACGGGCGCUAAUACCGCAUACGUCCUGAGGGAGAAAGUGGGGGAUCUUCGGACCUCACGCUAUCAGAUGAGCCUAGGUCGGAUUAGCUAGUUGGUGGGGUAAAGGCCUACCAAGGCGACGAUCCGUAACUGGUCUGAGAGGAUGAUCAGUCACACUGGAACUGAGACACGGUCCAGACUCCUACGGGAGGCAGCAGUGGGGAAUAUUGGACAAUGGGCGAAAGCCUGAUCCAGCCAUGCAGCGUGUGUGAAGAAGGUCUUCGGAUUGUAAAGCACUUUAAGUUGGGAGGAAGGGCAGUAAGUUAAUACCUUGCUGUUUUGACGUUACCAACAGAAUAAGCACCGACUAACUUCGUG